rnacentral:rRNA from 1 species
UACGUAGGGUGCGAGCGUUGUCCGGAAUUAUUGGGCGUAAAGCGCGCGCAGGCGGUCCUUUAAGUCUGAUGUGAAAGCCCACGGCUCAACCGUGGAGGGUCAUUGGAAACUGGGGGACUUGAGUACAGAAGAGAAGAGUGGAAUUCCACGUGUAGCGGUGAAAUGCGUAGAGAUGUGGAGGAACACCAGUGGCGAAGGCGGCUUCCUGGCCUGUAACUGACGCUGAGACGCGAAAGCGUGGGGAGCGAACCGG